GGUGAACGUUGGCGGUGCGUCUAAUACAUGCAAGUCGAGCGAGGCUUCGAGCCGAGCGGCAGACGGCUGAGUAACACGUUGGUAACUACCUCAAACUCAGGGAUAACUCCGAGAAAUCGGUGCUAAUACCGGAUGGUCCCGUAAGGGUAAAGUUUUUACGGUUUGAGAGGUGCCUGCGUCCUAUCAGGUAGUUGGUGAGGUAACGGCUCACCAAGCCUAUGACGGGUAACUGGUCUGAGAGGAUGACCAGUCAGAGGGAAACUGAGACACGGUUCCCACUUCUACGGAAGGCAGCAGUAAAGAAUCUUCCACAAUGGACGAAAGUCUGAUGGAGCGACACCGCGUGAAGGAUGAAGGCCCUUGGGUCGUAAACUGCUUUUUUGGGGGAAAAAUUCUGAUUGUACCCUAAGAAUAAGCACCGGCAAAUCACGUG
rnacentral:rRNA from 1 species